GGUUAUUGCACACCAAGCUCCAGUCCAAUGAAUUUGAGCCAAAUUCAGGAACAGUUACGACGUACUUGGAGGCUGUUUUGCUAUAAGUUGGGCUAAUAACCUCACUGUUUUUUUAUAUGAAACUUUCUAAGUCUUGUCAUGUACUCAACACACAAUUAAAAAGAGCUUGCUUCUCUUCACGCGUCUGGACACCAAAAUAUCAUACCAACUGUAGUUUGGCUCGGCGGUCGGUACCUUUCUGAUCCCUUUGGAUGAGCUUUUAAGUUGAAGUGCUACG
rnacentral:lncRNA from 1 species